rnacentral:rRNA from 1 species
GACAGAGGUGCCGAGCGUUAGGCGGAAUCACUGGGCUUAAAGCGUGUGUAGGCGGGUCGUUAAGUACCUUGUGAAAUCCCCCGGCUCAACCGGGGAACGGCUGGGUAUACUGGCGAUCUUGAGCCACCUAGGGGCAGUCGGAACAAGUGGUGGAGCGGUGAAAUGCGUAGAUAUCUAACUUGGAACCGUGCCAAGAAGGUGAAAACUGACUGG